GACGAACGCUGGCGGCGUGCUUAACACAUGCAAGUCGAACGGAAAGGCCCUGCUUUUGUGGGGUGCUCGAGUGGCGAACGGGUGAGUAACACGUGAGUAACCUGCCCUUGACUUUGGGAUAACUUCAGGAAACUUGGGCUAAUACCGGAUAGGAGCUCCUGCUGCAUGGUGGGGGUUGGAAAGUUUCGGCGGUUGGGGAUGGACUCGCGGCUUAUCAGCUUGUUGGUGGGGUAGUGGCUUACCAAGGCUUUGACGGGUAGCCGGCCUGAGAGGGUGACCGGCCACAUUGGGACUGAGAUACGGCCCAGACUCCUACGGGAGGCAGCAGUGGGGAAUAUUGCACAAUGGGCGGAAGACUGAUGCAGCAAAGCCGCGUGCGGGAUGACGGCCUUCGGGUUGUAAACCGCUUUCGCCUGUGACGAAGCGUGAGUGACGGUAAUGGGUAAAGAAGCACCGGCUAACUACGUG
rnacentral:rRNA from 1 species